UACAGAGGGUGCAAGCGUUAAUCGGAAUUACUGGGCGUAAAGCGCGCGUAGGUGGUUUGGUAAGUCGGAUGUGAAAUCCCCGGGCUCAACCUGGGAACUGCAUUCGAAACUGCCUGGCUAGAGUUUGAGAGAGGGAAGUGGAAUUCCACAUGUAGCGGUGAAAUGCGUAGAUAUGUGGAGGAACAUCAAUGGCGAAGGCAGCUUCCUGGACCAAUACUGACGCUGAGGCGCGAAAGCGUGGGUAGCAAACAGG
rnacentral:rRNA from 1 species